rnacentral:rRNA from 1 species
UACGAAGGGGGCUAGCGUUGCUCGGAAUCACUGGGCGUAAAGGGUGCGUAGGCGGGUCUUUAAGUCAGGGGUGAAAUCCUGGAGCUCAACUCCAGAACUGCCUUUGAUACUGGCGAUCUCGAGUCCGGAAGAGGUGAGUGGAACUCCUAGUGUAGAGGUGGAAUUCGUAGAUAUUAGGAAGAACACCAGUGGCGAAGGCGGCUCACUGGUCCGGAACUGACGCUGAGGUGCGAAAGCGUGGGGAGCAAACAGGG